UACGAAGGGGGCUAGCGUUGUUCGGAAUCACUGGGCGUAAAGCGCACGUAGGCGGAUGUGCCAGUCAGGGGGUGAAAUCCCGGAGCUCAACUCCGGAACUGCCUCGUGAUACAGCACGUCUUGAGUUCGAGAGAGGUGGGUGGAAUUCCUAGUGUAGAGGUGAAAUUCGUAGAGUAUUAGGAAGAACGACCGGUGGCGGAAGGCGGCCCACUGGCUCGAUACUGACGCUGAGGUGCGA
rnacentral:rRNA from 1 species